rnacentral:rRNA from 1 species
CGGGGCGACUGGGGCGGUUCGCCGCCCCCGACGUCGCGAGAAGUCCAUUGAACCUUAUCAUUUAGAGGAAGGAGAAGUCGUAACAAGGUUUCCGUAGGUGAACCUGCGGAAGGAUCAUU